AGGUGCUUGCACCUCUGGCGUCGAGCGGCGGACGGGUGAGUAAUGCUUGGGAACAUGCCUUGAGGUGGGGGACAACCGUUGGAAACGACGGCUAAUACCGCAUAAUGUCUACGGACCAAAGGGGGCUUCGGCUCUCGCCUUUAGAUUGGCCCAAGUGGGAUUAGCUAGUUGGUGAGGUAAUGGCUCACCAAGGCGACGAUCCCUAGCUGGUUUGAGAGGAUGAUCAGCCACACUGGGACUGAGACACGGCCCAGACUCCUACGGGAGGCAGCAGUGGGGAAUAUUGCACAAUGGGCGCAAGCCUGAUGCAGCCAUGCCGCGUGUGUGAAGAAGGCCUUCGGGUUGUAAAGCACUUUCAGCAAGGAGGAAAGG
rnacentral:rRNA from 1 species